rnacentral:rRNA from 1 species
CUUCCGUAGGUGAACCUGCGGAAGGAUCAUUACCGAGUGUAGGGUUCCUAGCGAGCCCAACCUCCCACCCGUGUUUACUGUACCUUAGUUGCUUCGGCGGGCCCGCCAUUCGUGGCCGCCGGGGGCUCUCAGCCCCGGGCCCGCGCCCGCCGGAGACACCACGAACUCUGUCUGAUCUAGUGAAGUCUGAGUUGAUUGUAUCGCAAUCAGUUAAAACUUUCAACAAUGGAUCUCUUGGUUCCGGCAUCGAUGAAGAACGCAGCGAAAUGCGAUAACUAGUGUGAAUUGCAGAAUUCCGUGAAUCAUCGAGUCUUUGAACGCACAUUGCGCCCCCUGGUAUUCCGGGGGGCAUGCCUGUCCGAGCGUCAUUGCUGCCCAUCAAGCACGGCUUGUGUGUUGGGUCGUCGUCCCCUCUCCGGGGGGGACGGGCCCCAAAGGCAGCGGCGGCACCGCGUCCGAUCCUCGAGCGUAUGGGGCUUUGUCACCCGCUCUGUAGGCCCGGCCGGCGCUUGCCGAACGCAAAUCAAUCUUUUUCCAGGUGACCUCGGAUCAUGUAGAACAAAGCUUUCCGUGUUGUGGGA